UACGGAGGGAGCUAGCGUUAUUCGGAAUUACUGGGCGUAAAGCGCACGUAGGCGGCUUUGUAAGUUAGAGGUGAAAGCCUGGAGCUCAACUCCGGAAUUGCCUUUAAGACUGCAUCGCUAGAAUUGUGGAGAGGUAAGUGGAAUUCCGAGUGUAGAGGUGAAAUUCGUAGAUAUUCGGAGGAACACCAGUGGCGAAGGCGGCUCACUGGUCCAUUACUGACGCUGAGGUGCGAAAGCGUGGGGAGCAAACAGG
rnacentral:rRNA from 1 species